rnacentral:ncRNA from 2 species
AUGCAUCUUCAGGGCAGGGUGAAAUUCCCGAUCGGCGGUACAGUCCGCUAGCCUCGCGAGCGAUCGCGCGGCCGAACCGGUGAGAUUCCGGUACCGACAGUCAUAGUCUGGAUGGAAGAAGUUUGCG